rnacentral:rRNA from 1 species
GACGGGGGGUCCUAGCGUUGUUCGGAAUCAUUGGGCGUAAAGGGUGUGCAGGUGGUUCUGUAAGUUAGAUGUGAAAUCCUUGGGCUUAACCCAAGAAGUGCAUUUAAAACUACAAAACUUGAGUAUGGAAGAGGGUCGUGGAAUUCUUGGUGUAGUGGUGAAAUACGUAGAUAUCAAGAGGAACACCGGUGGCGAAGGCGGCGACCUGGUCCUAUACUGACACUCAUACACGAAAGCGUGGGGAGCAAACAGG